AAUGCAAAGAAAAAAUAAAAAGGUGGAAAAGUGGGUGUGAUUUUCUUCCUAGCAUCCCACGUAUUCCACCCCAAUUUGUCCACAUUUCUUACCUUCUUUUUGUGCCCCAAAAGUCUCCUUCUUAUCCUAUUUUGCUGGCUGCCUCAGACCAGAAAGUCCAGCUCCUUUACUUCUUUCUGUAUUCCUCUUUCUUUGCUCUUCUUUCUCUCUUCUUACUUUGCUUCUACACGGCAGACCUCCCUUUCUCACCAACACAAAAUAUCCCUCUCUAAAGAAGAAAUUAAAGGGUUAACACUAAAAUUUCAGUUUCAAAUUGUUGGGGGUGUUACCAGCAUCCAGGUUUAAGCUCCUUCGACUUUAGGCUCUUGGUUCCUCUGCUUUCAGGUAAGGGAUAAGUUAUAUGGGCAUUUGGUAAGUCAUGAGGUUAUUUUAAAGUAUAUUAUGCAUUAAAAUGUUUUUGAUUAGAGAUAUGACAUGUAAUCAUUAUUCUGACAAAGAUAUGUUCAUGAGCUUUCGAAAAACUUAAGUAUAUGAUUUAAGCAUAUUAAUGCUAUUACUGAUUUCACGAACAUGAUGUUUAAAGAAAAGAAUGGAAAUGUUAUUAUCAUGAAAUGUCAUGCAAAACAAGAAAUUUCAGUAUGAUGUAAAGUAUAAAAUGUUUUCGGGUUAUGUCCUCUGGUGAUCUGAACUUUGCUAGUAGGGGUUAAUUAUUAGCUUUCCAUGGAAAAUGUUAUAUGAUUGGCCAUUAAGUGGGACUGGCUCUGCUGUACCCGCCCCUUGUUGGUUAUGGCCAACUUGUGGGGGAAGCCAACCUACCCCCAUGGUUGGAAGAUAUGUAUUAUGAUGUGAUCCCGAGAAUACCUAGUAUUGUGGGGAAUGCUGGAUGCCUAGCACCGUAGUGCUAGAAGCCUCCUAAAUAAGUACAGACUUAUCAGAUAUGGGCUAACCAAUAAGUUAUUUAUGAACAACUAUGUUAUGUUAUUAAUCAUGAGAGAAUUAUUUUGUUUAAAUGCAUUGUGAAAAGUGAAAACUCUCAUGGCAAGAAGAAGUUUCUAAUGAAAAGAAAUUCUGUUCAUUAAAGAUAAAAGUUUCUGAAAAUUUUGAUAUGCUAUAAAGGUAAAGUUUCUGAUGAAAGUACAAGUUAUGUUUAAAAGUUAUCAGAUAUCUGUUUUUAUGAAACGUUAAGUUUUAUGAUCAUGAAAGUUAUAGUAUUCUAUGAGAAGAAGUUUAUAAAGAAAAGUUUUCUUAUUAGUCAAGAUGUUUCUAGCUUAAUACAAAGUUGCCAAUUAUCUGAUUUAAGUUAAAAUAAUUAUCUUGUAAUGAAAAUAUAUGUAUGGCGACUUUGUAGGAAGUGAAAGAAGUUUAAUCCGAAAGGUUUUAGUAAUAUUAAACCGAUAAGAAAAAGGAGAACAAUUAUUUCCUAUGACGAGCGUAUAAGCUAUUAUUAUGAAUAGUAUAAAGUACUAUGCAUGAAAAGAUGUUCUCCUGUUCGAAUAUUCAUAAAAUGAAAUGAUUUGGUUACAUGCAUCCUUAUUGAAUUCUCAUAUAUCUUACCUUUACUGAGCUGUGUAGCUCACCCCUUCCACUCUUUCAGUUAGCAGGUUUUAUUUUGGAGUAGAGGGAGCCUUAGUCAAGUUUUGGAAGGAGCUGGUUUAGUUUUAUAUGUAUAGAUCCUAAACUAGCAAUAUGAUGUUUAGAUUUGUAGCAUUGUUUAUUUUAGAUCUAAUGAAAGUGUAUACCUUAAAGUAUUAAGAGAUGUAUUAUAUGAAAUUCCGAAUUUGACCAAGUGGUGAAUUAUGUUAUUCUUUGGAGUACAAUGUAGAUGCUCUGAAUGUCAAGUGAAAGGUUAUAUCA